rnacentral:lncRNA from 1 species
AGGAAUUGAAACGUUACAUUGCAAAAAGGUUAGACACUCAUCUAUGUUUAAAUAUACCUAUUGGUUUGAAUCAAAUUCGAAAAUAAACCGAUUUCAACAGAAGAGUUAUCACAAAUUAAAAAAAGGAAAACCUAAUUUGAAGAUGAAUAGGAUAUUUGUUCACCAGAGGGAGGAGUUGUGAGGGUUGGCGCGUUGCCUUGUUCGGAUGAUGGCGCAAGAGCGACCGCCGGCGAGAGUGUUAUAAUCUUGAGUAUAAAAAAUGCGAGAGACGUGACUCUGCACCUUGUGUUCGUCAUCGGCGAAGAUAUCACAUAGAGCAAUGAUGUAAUCCAGAGGCAAUUCACCUGUUAUCCGCAGCGAAUGGUUGACGCCUCGAAACAUGUCUUUGCAUACAAUACGAUUGAAAUCGAAGACUCCAUAAAGGGACGAAUCCAGAGGUGGUGGAGGCACUGGAUUCAGUUGUUGCCUCAGGCACUGCUCUAUGGGGCUCGGUAUGCUCACUGAAGUUGUUAUCAUCAGUGCGAAAAGAAGCAUCGCAACAGCAAUCGCUCGUGAAGGCAUUGGAACGUGGGAACCUGAUUUUGAUGCUGAAAUCUUACGGUACUGUUCAACGUUUCAGGUAUCUCUUCUUCGAUGGAUUUGAGAAUUAUCGUUCUUCCCCCUUUUAUAUAGAAUUUAACUAUCAUCUUUUACUAUUCGCUUUAAAUUCCCUAUCUUUUUAUCUCCAGAAAAGAAAAUAUAUUUGGUUAAUAUCAUUAUCUUUACAUAUAAUUCAAUUGUUAUUUUGUUGAAAUAGAUAAUCAAUAAUUAUAUAUGUAUAAUUCUUUAUCACAUUUUUCAAAUGUAUUUUUAUAUUAAAAAAUCAAGUUUAUCUUUAAUUAGUGAAACUACAUGUAGUACACACCUGUGUUUAUUUUUUUUAUGAUGAUAAAAAAAUUAUUAUUAUUAUUAUUAUUCUUACUAUCAUAAAAUCAAAUAUAAAUAAUUUUUAUAAUUUUAUUAUAAAUAUUUUUAUUUAUUUUAUAAGUAAUUCUAUAAUUAACAACUUAGAUUAAAAGAAUUAAUCAAAAUAAAAAAAUGAUUAAAAGUAAAAAACGACAAAAUUGAUAAAAUAAUUAUUUUAAUUUAGAAAAACUUUGAUAAAAUUGAAAAAAUGAUUAUUUCAAUUUACAAUUAUUUUUAUUUACAAGAUAAAUUAGAAAAACAAAAUAUGAACACUAAAUAUAUAUAUAUAUAUAUAUAUAUAUAUAUAGAUUAUGAAAUUAAAUUAAAUAUAAGUAAUUUUUAUAAUUUCAUCAUAAAUAUUUUUUAUUUAAUUUUAUAAUUGAAAAAAUAGUUAGAUUUAAAAAAAUAUUGAUCAAAUUAAAAAAAAAAACGUUACAUUUACAGAAAGAAUAAAAUUAAUAGAAUAAUUAUUUUAAUUCAGAAAAUAAAUUUAAAAAAUGAUUAUAGAAAAAAAAAAAGGAGAAUCUCUCUUAAUAGAUAUAUAAACUGUAAUUAUUAUUCCUUGAUAAUGUAAAACACUUUUACACUAUCCCUUGAUUACUAAUUACCACCAUUAUAUCUUUUAAAAAGACGUUUCUCCCUACACAUCACUCCUUCUCUCUCCACCUUUCCCAAAUUCUUUUAUUUACAAAAAUAACUUUAAGUUAAAAUGUUUUUACUUUUAUCAUUUAGACUUUUGGUUAAAUAUGUUUUUUUGGUUUUCAUAUUUGUACCCAAUUCUUAAUUGGAUUCUCAUAUUUUUUUGUCCCAAUUGAGUCCAAAUACUUGUUAAAUUGAAGCAAUUAAACCCUUUUCGUUAAUUUUGAACUAAUGCCGUUUGCAAAUGCUGAGUUGUGAUUUAUUUAGGUUGACGUGUAUUAAAUUUAAUUCCAAAUAAAUUUCUCUUUUUCUGGAGUCUUCACCACUUAGCCUUUUCAUUUCCCGAAGAUCUCCCCCGUGAUCUUCCUUCCCUCCACCACUAGGGUCCUCCUAGGCUUCCCAAAGAAGGCCAACAGCACCACCACCUAUGUUUGUCCCUUAAUUCAUCUUCCAUUAGAUCACAAAGAAACCCUAAUCCCAACCCCAUACCAUACCCCCAUACCUCUACAUCGGUGAUCGCUCCAGCAUGGUGGUGAAGGCCCACGACCCAAACCUCGUCAUGGGCCAAGUCAAGAUCCUCAAGAGAGGCGAGAAGCUGAGUCCCGUCAACACCCAUUCCAGCGAUGAUCGUUUUGAUCUGGCUUUGGGAUCCACAAAUCGGUUGGGUCCGGAUCCGAGUUCUGUUCCGGUUCCGAGGUUCCUCAGUCUGAGGCGGUGAUGAUGAAUUGGUUGAUGGUAUUGUUAGAUUUGGGCGUGGAUUGUGCGCACUUGAGACCUCACUUGAGCAGUGGUUGUUGGGAACUUUCUUGAUGGUUUGAUCCGAUUGCAUGGUCUGGACCAUCGAAUGAUUUGUUUUUCCAAGAUUAAAUAUUUUGAUCCCGAGAAUGCUCCAAAAAUCAUGGGUUGUCUUCUAAUGAACCUCGAAGAGUCUAAAAAGGAACCCUUCUUCUGCCUCUGUUUUCUGAUUUCGACUGUUUUCACAUUUGGGGAGCGUUGAUUUUCCUUUUUUAUUCUCUUUGGUCUGGCUUGGUUCUCUCAUGGAGGCGAGGUUUGGCUUGGUUCUCACAUGGAGGCGGAGGCUAGGUUCGGUGGCUCAGGCGCGACGCCUCUUCUUGGUUGUGGGUGCCACUGCUUGAUUUGCGUUUGGGGUGCGUUUUGUGGUUUCUUGCCUGAUGAUUGGUGGCAGAAAUUUGGGGGUUAGGGUUCGAAGUGGGUUUUUGUUUUUUUUUUCUUUUUUUUAGAUUGGAUUCCUGCAGCUCGACUACUUCCGGCGACGAGGAGCGAUAGUGACGGUAGUUGUGAGAAUCAAGGCCUUAACGAGAUUAAUGAAGGAAAGGAAGAAGGAAGGAAAUAACACUUCUUACAAUUAAAUAAUAUAAGAUAAUACCACAUCAUAUAAUAUUUAUAAAUUUCCACGUAAUUGAAUGAAUAUAAAUGACUAUUAAUGUUUAUAUCCACGUAAUCACACUUAGACGGUGUUAGUUCAAAAUUAACGGAAAGGGUUUAAUUGCUUCAAUUUAACAAGUAUUUGGACUCAAUUGGGACAAAAAAAAUAUGAGAACCCAGUUGAGAAUUGGGUACAAAUAUGAGGACCAAAAGACAUAUUUAACCUAGAUUUUUUUAAACCUUAAUUCUACCCUCUGUUAUUUGCACAAUCACACACCCCCACUUCUCUCUCACGAAUCUUUUUUCCAUUUUCGUUUUCUCCCUUCUUCUUCCUCCCCUUUCACUUUUAUUUUCUGUUUUCAUUUCUCUUCCCCAUUGUUUCUUCUUUUACAUUUCAGUUAUACUGUUUCCAUUGACCGUUGAGUGGUGGUGUGGAGAAACGUCCAAGAGUGUGGAGUAAAGCGAAGUUCUUCGUUUCGGUAUCCAGGUUGGUUUUCUUCACUCUUUUAUUUUCCUUUUGAUACCCGUUAACGAAUGUUUAUAUCUGUUAAAACAUUCUCCAUCUUCCUUUUGCAUCUUCUUUGACGAACCUCCACCUGCUGCAGCACUACAACCACCAGACCUCUUCUUCCACCAGCACCACUACCACCAGACCACCUUCUUCCACCACUUCUAAGAAGCUGCUAACUCCAAACAGAGAACCACGAGCACCAACAAACAAAACAAUAACAUUGAAGGAGAAAUAGCACAGUGAAAAGAAGAAAUGUGAUUUCUGUGUUGAGAGUGUAAAUGAUUUUACAAUGGGGAUAACUUGAAAACAAAUUUCUUUUUACCAACCAUUUUACAUAAUUUAAUAAUUUUUGUAAUAUUUUUUAUGUAUAAAAAAAUUGUUAAGAAAUAAAACAAAUUGGCUUGAACAGAUGUGGGAGAAGUGUUGUUCAACGGAUCUUGAUUUUUGUCAACGGAAGUCAAGAUCUGUUUAAAGGCCAAAGGGAUGUUGGUAAAAGAAAAUAAAAAAUUCAAGUGUAGGGCAAAACGGGAAUGUGGAGGUGUAGGGAGCAAUAUGUGGAGGUGGAGGGAGUAACCCUCCUUUUAAAAUAGGUUUAAUGUUUCAGUAGGUCCCUAUUUUCGUCCAAAAUCUCAAUUAGGUCCUCUUUUUUUUACGUCUUAAUUGGGUCUUUUUUUUUUUUUUUGUAAAAUUGAAGCAAUUAGAGGUCUGCCGUCAAAUUUGACAAAUGACCGUUUAAAUUUGGAUGACGUGGCAUGGUCAAUCAAUUCAUUAAUCUCACAUGGCAUUGAAAAUGAGUUUUAUAUUAAAAAUUUGGAUUACAAUGUGUGCCAAAUCAGAUUUUAGGAAGGGCAAAGUGGACAUAACGAGUUAUGUGUUUCAUUCGUUAAAGAUCUAGUUUUUAUAUUGUUAAUUAAUCUCUUAAGCAUUUAUGUCCCUCAUCCAAACUUUUCUGAUGUUCCAUCUUCUUGUUGUGAGCGAAAGGUGUGUUACAUUGAACUUAAAGACCUUGUUUCUGUCCAUGAAUAUCAAGUCAUAAGUCUUACCAUCUUAGGGACACUUGAAAUCAAGUUAUUUGAUAAGCAAUUUGCAUGAAUGAUGGGACCCCUUCCAGUACUUAUAUCUCCAGUUCUCAUCUCACCGUUGCUAUUAGAGUUAACAAAGUAAACAACUCCUUUGAACAUCCAUUCCCCACUUUCCUUAAAAUAAAAAUCUUCAAAUAGCUCACCGCACAACACAUACAAGCAUUGGUUUUCAUCUGCUACAACCAUAACAUCCUCUUGACUUUUGUCUGCUUCAUUACAGAUGAAUUAUAGAUGCUGCUUCAGGACACCGGUACAAGAACAUACAGGCACUGGUAUGGUUGACUCACCACAAGCUACUUGGUGUAAAUAAAUCUGUAGAGAAAAUAAUCUGAAACAUAGAUAAUCACGUCCCUAUUUCCCAUAUGAAUCAAUCUGCAGAUGAAUCAAAUCCACUUUCCCAGAUGAAUCAAAUCCCUAAUUCCCUGAUGAAUCAAUAUGUAGAGAAAGCAUAUGAAUCAAAUCCCUAAUUCCAAUUUCAAAAAAAAAACCUUAAUCUGAAACAACAACCAAGGACGCGAUCCCCACCACCCAUGAGAACGACCACUAAGAUGCCGAAACAAACCCUCACUCUUUGCACCACAAAUCAGACCGACCAAUGUCCUUGUGCAAUCGCCACGACCUUGCUGCACCACCGAUUUGUUAUCGUCGCACCUUCGCUACGCCUCCACAAGGUCUCUGCCUCUACUCGAAAACGCAAAAUAUUCUUGCUCGCAACAUUGAGUCUGUUCGCGUCAAAAUAGAAAAGGAAGAAGCUUCAAGCUUCUGGAGUUUUGCGUUUAACAUGGGAAAGAGUUUUCCCUUAUGCCAACCCAGAGGGCUAAACUUAGAUUUUUACAUUUUCCCACUUUACCCUUCCCUAAAUCUGAUUCAAUCCAAAUUUUUAAAACAAAAUGCCACAUAAUCCAAAUUUAAACGUCCGUUUGUCAAAUUUGAAGGUAGACCUCUAAUUGAUUCAAUUUUACAAAAAAAAAGACUCAAUUGAGACGCCGAAAAAAAAAGGACCUAAUUGAGAUUCUAGACGAAAAUAGAGACCUACUGAGACAUUAAACCUUUAAAAUAACAAAUAUAAAAACUAACAAACUUAACAUAAGUAAUCAUUAAAUUAUAACUUUUAAAAUAUUAAACAUAAAAGAUUAGACAUGUGAAUUUUGGUUGAAUCAAAAGAUUUAAAAAUAUGCAUCUUAUAAAUGCGUAUGAUGAAAAUGAAUGUUCUAUAUGUACUCUGUUUGUGUUGAAGCAAAAUUUGCAAAGAAACCUUUUAAUCAUGUCACUUCGAGAAGCAUUGAAUUGGUUGAAUUGAUACAUUCGACUGAUUUAAAAAACACAGUGAGUAAAUAUGGUAAAACAAUAUUACAUAACUUUUGCUGUUGCCUUUUCCAUAUAUAAGAAAAUUUAUUUUUUUUCAAAUAAAAAAGACGAGGCUAUUCAAAUGUUUUUAAAAUAUAAAUUCGAAGUAGAAAAUCAAUUGGAUAAAAAUAUUAAAAGGCUUAGGUUUGAUAGAGGUGUAAGUAUAGUGAUAAUACUUUAUGUUCAAUUUAGAGACAAAAUCAGUUUCUUUUUAAUUUAUUACUUGCUUAAAUUAUCUUUUUUAUCUUGUUUUAGUGUUCAUCUAUAUUUUAGGCUAUAUUACAUAAAUAUUACUUUAAUCCCCCUAUUUUUGAUCCAUUUUGAUGUUAGGAAGAUCCUCCAUUUCAUUGAAGAGUCUCAGUGACCUAGAGAAGCAAGAAGAUCAGUAAAAAGGUGAAGUGUUGGAAGCUCCGUUGGCGUUGAGUGCCACAUUCUAGCGUUGGGCGCCACACUUACAGAGAGCUCCCAAUUGUUCUAGCGCUGAGCGCCACACUUCCAGAGAGCUGCCAUGAAGGCUAGCGUUGAGCACCAAGGCUCUACCGCUGAGCGGUGGCAAUGCUGAUGUGUCAAAAUUGCCCAUUUAUUCAAGUUGUCUCGAUGCAUUUGGG